rnacentral:rRNA from 1 species
UGGGGAAUAUUGGACAAUGGGGGCAACCCUGAUCCAGCAAUACCGCGUGUGUGAAGAAGGCCUUAGGGUUGUAAAGCACUUUAGGUUGGGAAGAAGACAUGUAGUUUAAGAGAUGACAUGUUUGACUGUACCGACAGAAUAAGCACCGGCUAACUCUGUGCCAGCAGCCGCGGUAAUACAGAGGGUGCAAGCGUUAAUCGGAGUUACUGGGCGUAAAGGGCGCGUAGGUGGUUGUUUAAGUGAGAUGUGAAAUCCCUGGGCUUAACCUAGGAACUGCAUCUUAUACUGGGCAACUGGAGUACUGUAGAGGGUAGUGGAAUUUCCGGUGUAGCGGUGAAAUGCGUAGAGAUCGGAAGGAACACCAGUGGCGAAGGCGGGUACCUGGACAGAUACUGACACUGAGGCGCGAAAGCGUGGGGAGCAAACAGGAUUAGAUACCCCAGUAGUCCCUGAGCGGGCUGGCAAGGCGCAU